rnacentral:rRNA from 1 species
AGAGUUUGAUCAUGGCUCAGGACGAACGCUGGCGGCGUGCUUAACACAUGCAAGUCGAACGGAAAGGCCUCUUCGGGGGUACUCGAGUGGCGAACGGGUGAGUAACACGUGGGUGAUCUGCCCUGCACUUCGGGAUAAGCUUGGGAAACUGGGUCUAAUACCGGAUAGGACCGCAUGCUGCAUGGUGUGUGGUGGAAAGUUUUUAAUGGUGUGGGAUGGGCCCGCGGCCUAUCAGCUUGUUGGUGGGGUGAUGGCCUACCAAGGCGACGACGGGUAGCCGGCCUGAGAGGGUGUCCGGCCACACUGGGACUGAGAUACGGCCCAGACUCCUACGGGAGGCAGCAGUGGGGAAUAUUGCACAAUGGGCGCAAGCCUGAUGCAGCGACGCCGCGUGGGGGAUGACGGCCUUCGGGUUGUAAACCUCUUUCACCAUCGGCGAAGCCGGGAGCUUUUGUUUCUGGUGACGGUAGGUGGAGAAGAAGCACCGGCCAACUACGUGCCAGCAGCCGCGGUAAUACGUAGGGUGCGAGCGUUGUCCGGAAUUACUGGGCGUAAAGAGCUCGUAGGUGGUUUGUCGCGUUGUUCGUGAAAUUCCCUGGCUUAACUGGGGGCGUGCGGGCGAUACGGGCAGACUGGAGUACUGCAGGGGAGACUGGAAUUCCUGGUGUAGCGGUGGAAUGCGCAGAUAUCAGGAGGAACACCGGUGGCGAAGGCGGGUCUCUGGGCAGUAACUGACGCUGAGGAGCGAAAGCGUGGGGAGCGAACAGGAUUAGAUACCCCGGUAGUCC